UGGGGAAUAUUGCACAAUGGAGGGAACUCUGAUGCAGCGACGCCGCGUGAACGAAGAAGGCUUUCGAGUCGUAAAGUUCUUUUAUAUGGGAAGAUAAUGACGGUACCAUAAGAAAAAGCCCCGGCUAACUACGUGCCAGCAGCCGCGGUAAUACGUAGGGGGCUAGCGUUGUCCGGAAUCACUGGGCGUAAAGGGUUCGCAGGCGGAAAUGCAAGUCAGGUGUAAAAGGCAGUAGCUUAACUACUGUAAGCAUUUGAAACUGCAUAUCUUUGGAAGAGUAGAGGUAAGUGGAAUUUUUAGUGUAGCGGUGAAAUGCGUAGAUAUUAAAAAGAAUACCGGUGGCGAAGGCGACUUACUGGGCUCAUUCUGACGCUGAGGAACGAAAGCGUGGGUAGCAAACAGG
rnacentral:rRNA from 1 species